GCGGCGAGAGAAACGGGUACAGGCCAAACCAACAUGCUUGCAUGUUGGGGUUGUAGGACUGAAAUAUAGGACAAACGAUGUUAACGAAAUGAGUUGGAAAGCUCAGCCAUAGAAGGUGAUAGCCCUGUACGUGAAAACAUCAAUUGCCUUAUCAGUAUCCUGAGUACAGCGGAACACGAGAAAUUCCGUUGGAAUCUGGGAAGACCAUUUCCCAAGCCUAAAUACUACCUAGUGACCGAUAGUGAACCAGUACCGUGAGGGAAAGGUGAAAA
rnacentral:rRNA from 1 species